GCUAGUAGGCGCUCAGUGAGCGCGCGUUUCCCGCUGGGGAGAGAGAGAGAGAGAGAGGCGCGCAGCCGCUGCUCGGAAAGCAGCUUGUGCGGCGGAGCAGCAGCAGCACCGUUGACGUUCCAUUUCCCCACGUGACCGGCGGCCUCGCUCCAUUCCAGGGAGGGAGCCUGGCUGCUGCUGCUGUUGCUGCAAAAGCUCUGGGGGAGCCGCAAGCUGUGGAGCAGCGCUGGCGGCCCCAGCACCCCGGAGCAGCCGUGCCGCCCGCCUUGUUUGUGUGAUGACCGAGCCUGGCUCUUGGCCGUCCGCUGCCGGCUGACAGAGACCGCUUCGGGGGCCAGGCAGGCAGGCAGGCGACGAGGAGAUAGGCGCCACCGCCGCGUGUGACCUUGGCCCAGGAGAGGCAAAUUGCACUGCAGAAGACUUGCCAGCAGACCAUACCAUUCAGACAUGGCACAAGGAAAUAAUUAUGGACAAAGCAGCAACGGGGUGGCUGAUGAAUCCCCAAAUAUGUUGGUGUACAGAAAGAUGGAAGAUGUCAUAGCUCGUAUGCAAGAUGAGAAAAAUGGGAUUCUCAUUCGUACAGUCAAAAGUUUCCUUUCCAAGAUUCCCAGUGUCUUCUCUGGUUCCGACAUCGUUCAGUGGUUAACAAAGAAUUUGUCUAUAGAAGACCCAGUGGAAGCUCUUCAUUUGGGAACAUUAAUGGCAGCCCAUGGUUAUUUCUUUCCUAUCUCAGACCAUGUUUUAACACUGAAAGAUGAUGGCACCUUUUACCGGUUCCAAACACCCUAUUUUUGGCCAUCCAAUUGUUGGGAGCCGGAAAACACAGAUUAUGCGGUUUACCUCUGCAAGCGAACAAUGCAAAACAAAGCACGGCUUGAGCUAGCAGACUAUGAAGCAGAGAGCUUGGCCAGGUUACAGCGAGCAUUUGCACGGAAAUGGGAGUUUAUUUUUAUGCAAGCAGAAGCACAAGCAAAAGUGGACAAGAAAAGGGACAAGAUAGAGAGGAAAAUCCUCGAUAGCCAAGAGAGAGCAUUUUGGGAUGUACACCGGCCAGUGCCUGGAUGUGUAAAUACUACUGAAGUGGAUAUUAAAAAGUCUUCUAGAAUGAAAAAUCCUCACAAAACAAGAAAGUCUGUUUACGGAUUACAGAACGACAUUCGAAGUCACAGCCCUACACACACACCAGCGCCAGAAACUAAACCACCCACAGAAGAGGAAUUGCAACAAGAGAUAAAGUAUUGGCAAAUACAGCUAGAUAGACACCGGUUAAAAAUGUCAAAAGUUGCAGAAAGUUUAUUGUCUUUCACUGAGCAGUAUGUGGAAUACGACCCAUUUCUGGCACCACCCGACCCGUCUAAUCCUUGGUUGUCGGAUGAUACUACUUUCUGGGAAGCAGAAGUAAGUAAAGAGCCAAACCAGCAAAGAGUAAAGCGAUGGGGAUUUGGCAUGGAUGAAGCCCUGAAAGACCCUGUGGGGAGAGAGCAGUUCCUCAAAUUCCUGGAGUCCGAAUUCAGCUCAGAGAAUCUAAGGUUCUGGUUAGCUGUAGAAGAUUUGAAGAAGAGACCGAUGAGGGAAGUCCCUGCUAGAGUGCAGGAAAUCUGGCAAGAAUUUCUUGCCCCCGGAGCACCGAGUGCCAUUAACGUAGAUUCAAAAAGUUAUGACAAAACCACGCAGAAUGUAAAAGAACCAGGGCGGCAUACAUUUGGCGAUGCUCAGGAGCACAUUUACAAAUUGAUGAAAAGUGAUUCAUAUCCUCGUUUUCUACGAUCCAGUGCCUACCAGGAACUGCUACAGGCCAAGAAGAAGGUAUUGGUCCAUCUUGUCUAUGUCUUUCCAACUAUUUCAGUAGUGGUUUCUCCUUGCUACCAUUUUGGCUACUUUCUCGCCUUGGGUAAGGUGCAUAUCCGGUAGGUGAAAAGUUAAAAUUGAGCAUCACUGAAGGGAUCCAGACAUAUAUCUGUUUUGCACUUAUGCACGACUGAAUAAGUUGCACUAACCAAUUCCAUGUUGACAUUCGCAUUAUCAAAUUCAUCUAGUAACCAAAGGACUAAAUCAGGAAAAUAGCUUUUAAGUAGGCCAAAUAUCUCUAGAAACAGUGUUUCAGAGUAGUCAUUUUUCACCACCUUAUAUAUUAUGAAACAAUUUACCUUAAAUGCAUUUAAGACCCUACAGUGCAUGCUUACUUGGAAGUAAGUCCCACUAAGUCGAGUGGAGUUUACUCCUAUCUCUCAUUUAAAACUCUUAAGUGUGCUAGGAUUGCAGCGUCAUAAGCCUUUGAUGCUCGGUUGACAGGAAAUUCUUUCUUUUUCUAUUAGGUCUAUUGCUAUAUCCUAGUUAAAAGUGUAUCAUCUAGCCCUAGUGCAUGUUCAUGGGGAAGCUCCCUUGUGUAAACCCCAUUGAAAUGAAUGUUGAUACUAUAAGGACAGGAAACAAAUGAUUUAGACUAACCCAAAUCAAUGGAGUGGCUUUUGAUGUUCAUUGUAUACUCUUUUGCUUUAGAAGGCCCCCAAACUAUAUGCGAUGCCAAACACAAUAGAUUGUGAACUGUAUAUCUUUUCUGAAAAUCUAAAUAGCAGAUGGGGGAAAGCAAUCAGAAUUGGGAUGUUGGGGGGGGGUGCACUUUAACCCUUUCCUUCCCCACUAUAUUCCUGCCUUUUGAAGCUGCGACACACCAUGGGAGAGAAGUUCCUCUCGACUUCAGUGGGCUAAUUGCCGUUUCAGGGACACUUUUCUUGAAAGAAUUGGUGGGGAGUAAAGAGCUAUACCAGAACCACAGUCCCAGUACUGAUUGGGGCUGCCAUCCCUGCUAUUCAGAGCAAGAUAUAUGGAACAACGUUACAUGUACUUUAGUUCUUACAUUUAAUAGCCUGCCAACAGAACAGUCUAAAACCCAACGACCUUUCCUCACCCAUUCCAGUUAUGUUGUUAUUUGUAUAUCAAAUAAGCGAAGAUGUAAAACAAGCCAGAGAUUCUCUAAUUUGGGUGGUUUUCUCGUUUCUGUAAAUGUCUGGUCAUUUAAUCAGCAUCUUGUUGUUUUGCUUUAAUUUUAUGUGUGUGCGCGUGUGAUAUAUAAAUAUAUAUAUAAAAUGCCAGUUUGAUCCACUUGCCAGAAAUUUCUAACCAAAGGCACAGAUCCCAAGAUUAUUGCAUGCACCUUCCAGGUGAUCAGCACUGGCAAAGCUGACUGGACCAUCCAUCGGCUUAGUGGUGCAGAAACUGUGGGGGAAUGCUGGGUGCGAUUUCCACACACACACACCCUGCAGCCAAGCCACACUCAGUUGCUUGUGUGGGAUCCCAUUCCGAAGGGACGUCUGGUCCUGUAAGCCUGCUUCUGCAUCCCUUCCCAGAUCAGGUGAAACAUUACAAAGCUUUCCUGUAAUUUAUUUCUCUACAAGCUUUUACAUCUUCUCCUACAUUUGCGUUUACUUUGUGAUUUGUACACGAGCUUUGUGUUUUAGCAGCCCAUUGUUUCUCCCCCCCCCCAUGGUCUGUUCUUUUCGGCUUCUUUUGUUUCCUUUCCCCUUUUUAUUUCUUUUCUUUCACUUUAAGUUUGGAAACACAAUGGAUCGCCGAACAUCCUUUGAGAAAUUCACACGCAGUGUGGUAAGUUCAUAAUGUUGUAAGCCUUUCUGGUUAACAGGCUUUCCUCAGGUGGUAUUUGGGUGACAACCUGCUCAUGUCACCAAGCACUGUUUUAAACAUAGUCCCAGCUGAAAUGAUUUGGAAUAGUUUUAAGUCUGCCUUCUGCAACCUGCUUCCUUCCAGAUGUUGUUGGACUCCAGCUCCCAUCAACCACAGCCAGUAUGGGGCCAAAGAUUGGUGAUUAUGGGAGUUGUAGUCCAGCAACAUAUAGAAGGCACCAGAUUGGGGAAGGCUGGUUUAAAUGGCAGGAGCAGCUUAAGCAGGCAACAUGUCCACACCGCUUUUCUGGAAACAAAAUCCCAUUCAUUUCCAUUUAAAAAGAGAGAGAGAUUGCUAAAUUUUAAAGCAACUGGAUUUAUUACAUUUCACUCUGCUUUUUUUUAAAAAAAUCACAAGCCACUCCCACCCCCAAAUGUUGUGUUUGUUUUGGAGGGUUGUUUUUUUUAUGUGCCAAUGACUUUGGAUCACCUUUUUCAACAUUGUGCAAGUUCAAACUAAAGCGUUCAACACAUUUAUUUUUGUAGGGCAGAAACAUCCCAAUUUUCCCAUGCCAUAAAAACUGUACACCAACACUGAGGGCGAGCACUAACCUGUUAUGAAAAGAGGGGAAAUCGCUCGCAUCAAAGAGAUUAACCAGUCUAGUGCAGUCCUACUAAAAGGAUCACCUUAUAGCAUGGAAGCAGACUCAAUCAUUAUACAUACGGUACUUUGUAGCUCACUAAUUGCCUGAAGACAGAGGACAGUAGAACAAGAUGUUGCAUGAGCAAAGGACAUGACUCGUUUUCUUUUGUGUAUAUCAAGGCAUUACAGACUCCAAGGGACUCGCUAACCUUUCGAUGCCUCCAUUUUGAAAAACUCUCUGCUCACUUUCGCCUUCAUAUCAAGCUGGAUCUGUGUCUUUUUGUUUCCUGCAAGCUGAAGUACAGUGAAAAAAGCUUCUGUUAGGCAGAGUUUAUUCACAAUACUUUCGGUCGCAAACUGGAAGAAAUGUAAAAAAACAACAACCCCUAAAAAUAAAAACAUUGAAUAUAUUCAUAAAUAUACCUACUAUGACAUCACGGCUAUUGCACAAUAAAUUAGCACAGAAGGUUCCAUCUCACCGAUGUUGUCACAUCGAGAAAGAAAGUCUGUGUCUUUGUCUGUUGUCUGUAUAUUCUAUGUUAAUGUUUCUUGCAUUUAUUUUUAUACCAUAUUUUAAGACAAAAAGAACACCUUUUACUCCAAAUGUAUUAAAGCUGAUCCUUUCUCUGUAAAUUUGUGUAUGUUUAUAUUGUUGUUUUAUCUUUCAUUAAAAUAUGCAGAAUCUC